GUUUUAAUUAAGGAGAAGCUUCGUGUAGGUGUCGGACUCGCUCUCGUUCACUGCCCCGCAACAGACAGCGAGACUCGAUCAUCAAUGAGGUAUGUGAUGAACAAGCUGAUGAGGUUGCGGAAACAGCAAAUUUGCAUGGGGAAUAUGAACUGAGAGGAUGUAAACAACAGAAUGAAUUGGACAGUACUAGAUAUAUAGUAUGCAUCAAAAUAUUCAAUGCUUUACUAAUUCUUUCGUUGGAUGAUUGUUGUUUAGUUUUCUUAAUUCCCAAUAUAUAUAAGUGGAUGCAGAAACUCUCUGCUAAUAUAUUAUUUGCGUAUGUUUUAGCUGAAUAUACUAGCAGAGAGUUUCUUGAAUAUUAUUUGUGUAUGUUUCAGCUUGCUUGAAUGAAAAAGAUGCACAUACAUUGCAAUGUUGUCAUUGGCAGCUUGUUUUAUUAUUGUGCAUCUUAUACCACACAGUGGUGCUCCAAUAACAAAAUCAACAUUUCUGAGAGGUGUAUCUUUUGGUUCUUGACAUUUUCCAGAAUGGAAAUUUUCGUAGCGAGUUUUAACUUCCACACCUUUUUGGCUAUCCAUGUUGUGUUUCUUUUCUCUUUUUCUCUCCAACGUGCUUUUCUUGGCAAUGAAACCGACAAACUUGCCUUUCUUGGAUUCAAGUCCCAAAUAACUGAGGAUCUAUCAAGAGUUUUCGUCUCUUGGAAUUAUUCUAUUCAUUUCUGUCAGUGGACUGGAGUAAAAUGUCGCCUGAGAUAUGGAUGAGUCAUCCGCUUGAAUCUCAAAGGGCUGAGGCUGGCAGGUACAAUCUCAGGUCAUCUUGGGAACCUCUCUUUGCAGAAAAUGCCUCCCUCAACAACUCAGCAGGCUGUCAAGGCUUCAAAACCUGAAUUUGAGUUUCAACUAUCUAACAGGGGAAAUUUCAGUUAAUCUAUCACAUUGUGUUAACCUCAAGAGCCUUGUCCUCGAACACAACGCUCUUCUGGGGAAAAUUCCUAACCAAGUUUUAUCUUUAACGAAGUUCUAUUGGAAAUCUUACAUCUUUAGAAGAGUUGUAUUUAUCAUACAAUAAUCUAGAGGGACAAGUGCCAGUUUCUUUUGCUCAAUUGACCAAGUUGAGGCUUCUUGGAUUGUCAGUAAAUAGCUUAUCCGGGGAGUUCCCUCCUCCGUUGUACGAUUUGUCAUCCCUGGUAAUCUCAGAUCCGAUUUACUUCCCUAAUUUCCAAAUACUUUACUUGGUGAAAUGUCAAUUCAUUGGUUCCAUACCAUCCUCUUUGGCCAAUGCUUCAAAAUUGC